UACGGAGGGGGCUAGCGUUGUUCGGAAUUACUGGGCGUAAAGCGUGCGCAGGCGGUUUUGUAAGACAGAUGUGAAAUCCCCGGGCUCAACCUGGGAACUGCGUUUGUGACUGCAAGACUUGAGUAUGGGCAGAGGGGGGUAGAAUUCCACGUGUAGCAGUGAAAUGCGUAGAGAUGUGGAGGAAUACCGAUGGCGAAGGCCAGCCCCCUGGGUCAAUACUGACGCUCAUGCACGAAGCGUGGGGAGCAAACAGG
rnacentral:rRNA from 1 species